AGGAUAAAGCUAUUCACCAUUGUUUCAACAUGAAGGUUUGUAAUAAAAAUUUGUUUCUAUCAGCAUUGCUUUGCAUUGCUGUUGCAGGAGUUUUGGGUCAAGCUCCUAGUAAUCCUCCUACGUCUACGCCGGCGCCACCCACACCACCGGCUUCUACUCCUCCUCCGACGACUCAAGCACCGCCUACACCAACCGCCACUCCGCCACCGGUUUCUACUCCUCCUCCCACUUCAUCACCGCCCCCAGUGACAGCUUCUCCACCCCCAGUUUCAACUCCUCCACCCAGUUCUCCUCCUCCUGCAACUCCACCACCUGCUUCUCCUCCUCCUGCAACUCCACCUCCAGCUUCUCCACCUCCUGCCACUCCUCCACCAGCUUCUCCACCUCCCGCCACUCCACCACCUGCAACCCCACCGCCAGCAACUCCUCCUCCUGCUACCCCACCACCAGCUCCAUUGGCUUCUCCUCCAGCCACAGUCCCAGCUAUCUCUCCAGUACAAACACCAUUGACAUCGCCACCAGCUCCGCCGACCGAGGCCCCAGCACCUACCCUCGGGGCUGCUACGCCAGGUCCAGCUGGAACU
rnacentral:lncRNA from 1 species